AAUCUUCUUUGUGUCUUUUCCAUCAAACCCUAAAAAGAUUCACGUAAGAGAUGUCGAGAUUUUUGGAAUAGUCAAAGAAGGUCGAUCGGAUUUUGAGCUCCCUAUUGAGAUUCUAUCGAUAAUUCCGACGGAUUCUUUCGAGCAACUGGAUCUCGCGAAGAGGCGAUUAUCUGUAAAGUGUCGAAUUUGGAGGAAGAGGUGGUCGAAUUGAGGAAGAAACUCCAUGAGAUGGAAAUGAGUAUUCACGAGCUUGAAAGGGAUGUCUAGGCGUGGUUAGUUUUCGA